rnacentral:rRNA from 1 species
AACGAACGCUGGCGGCAUGCCUAACACAUGCAAGUCGAACGAGACCUUCGGGUCUAGUGGCGCACGGGUGCGUAACGCGUGGGAACCUGCCCUUAGGUUCGGAAUAACUCCCCGAAAGGGGUGCUAAUACCGGAUACUGUCGUCGGACCAACGAUUUAUCGCCUUUGGAUGGGCCCGCGUUGGAUUAGCUAGUUGGUAGGGUAAAAGCCUACCAAGGCGACGAUCCAUAGCUGGUCUGAGAGAAUGAUCAGCCACACUGGGACUGAGACACGGCCCAGACUCCUACGCGAGGCAGCAGUGGGUAAUAUUGGACAAUGGGCGAAAGCCUGAUCCAGCAAUGCCGCGUGAGUGAUGAAGGCCGUAGGGUAGUAAAGCUCUUUUACCCGGGAUGAUAAUGACAGUACCGGGAGAAUAAGCUCCGGCUAACUCCGUG